rnacentral:tRNA from 1 species
AGGGAGUUGGUGUAAUGGUAGCAUAGCGGUCUCCAAAACCGUUAGUAAAGGUUCAAAUCCUUUACUCCUUGCCA